rnacentral:rRNA from 1 species
CCUACGGGUGGCUGCAGUGAGGAAUAUUGGUCAAUGGGCGGAAGCCUGAACCAGCCAAGUCGCGUGAGGGAUUAAGGCCCUGCGGGUCGUAAACCUCUUUUGCCGGGGAGCAGAGGUCCGGACGUGUCCGGGCCGGGAGAGUACCCGGCGAACAAGCAUCCGCUAACUCCGUGCCAGCAGCCGCGGUAAUACGGAGGAUGCGAUCGUUCUCCGGAUUUAUUGGGUGUAAAGGGUGCGUAGGCGGGCAUUUAAGCCGGCGGUCAAAUGUCGGGGCUCAACCCCGGCCUGCCGUCGGAACUGGGUGCCUUGAGUGGGCGAGAGGUAUGCGGAAUGCGUGGUGUAGCGGUGAAAUGCAUAGAUAUCACGCAGAACCCCGAUUGCGAAGGCAGCAUACCGGCGCCCUACUGACGCUGAGGCACGAAAGUGCGGGUAGCGAACAGGAUUAGAUACCCCUGUAGUC